rnacentral:lncRNA from 1 species
AGGGGCUUCCUGGUGAGCGUCCCCCAUCCUCACAUUCAGACUUACAUCUUCAGGCAACUUUCUAGAUUCUAGACUUUAAUGCACGAGAGAAGUAGGAGUCUUACUAUAUCGCUCCUGCUGUUCUCCACCUCCGGGGAUCAAACUGCCCACGUCAGCUUCCGGAAUCGAAGGGAAGAUAGAUGUGUGUGUGCUACCCACCUGGCAAGCCCUAAAGUUGAGAUGUGGAAACGUGGGUGCACUGAAUGUCUGUUCUACUAAAGAGUGUUGUUCUUCUGACCUUGGGAUGAAUCGCUUCCCUUCUUGG